AAAGGGUAGACCUCUUUUAGAAUUUGUCUAGGACGUUUUCCGGUUUUCACCGGAAGACACCC
rnacentral:snRNA from 1 species